CAGCCGCCACGGUAAUACGGAGGGUGCAAGCGUUAAUCGGAAUUACUGGGCGUAAAGCGCACGCAGGCGGUCUGUCAAGUCGGAUGUGAAAUCCCCGGGCUCAACCUGGGAACUGCAUUCGAAACUGGCAGGCUAGAGUCUUGUAGAGGGGGGUAGAAUUCCAGGUGUAGCGGUGAAAUGCGUAGAGAUCUGGAGGAAUACCGAUGGCGAAGGCAGCCAUCUGGCCUAAUACUGACGCUGAGGUACGAAAGCAUGGGGAGCAAACAGGAUUAGAUACCCUCGUAGUCCCUGUCUCUUAUAC
rnacentral:rRNA from 1 species